rnacentral:pre_miRNA from 14 species
CUCGUCAGGCUCAGUCCCCUCCCGAUAAACCUCAAAAUAGGGGGUUAUCUGGGGGAUCGGUGGCA